AUUUCAGCAUAAAAAAUAAAUUCCUGUAGUCAGGGGGCGGGGCUUAGGUGAUGUCAGCUGUCCACAUUGUCAUUGUUUACAGAUAUGGUCAAUGAUCACACAGACAAAGUUCGAAAAAGAUCUGAUCAUGCACAUGGGAGUUAUUAAGUCAAGUAAAGUAAUGGCGAAAGGUCAACGUUUGAGGCUUAGCCACGCCCACACCUUUCAACUUUUGAAAAAUCCGACGGUUGAAUUUUUUCCCCUACGUCUUAAGAGUGUAUUGCAGAAGUUUGAAGGUGAUUGGUGAAAAGGGCGACGGAGCAUCACUCUCCAAACAAUGUGUGCGAAAACCACUAAAUCACGUACUUGCACCAAAAUGGCCGACUUCCUGUGCGACUUUACGCUUGGCUCCAAGAGACUUUUUUGUAGGUCCUGAGACCCCACAUUAGUGUACCAAAUUUCGUAAUCCUCAGUCAAAGCAUGGCUUGGGGCUGACAGUUUUAAUGGCUCUAGGGGGCGCUAUUUAAGAAUAUAGGCCAUGCCCACAAACUUCAGCUGUCUAUUUCUCUUGGAGCUCAGACUAGGAUCACUCACCAGAAGUUUCGUAGCAAUAUCACGAUAACUGAAGAAAUGAGAGACAAACGUAUUUCCAUGGCGUGAUGGCGAUUUUCGCCAUGGUCCCAAAGCCCCGCCUUUUUUCAAAACCUGCCAGUACUGGAGACCAAGUAACCUCAACUUGUCUACUGCUGUUUGCCACAGAAUCCUGGUGAUUGGGUAAAAGGAGUCCAGUAGGGAGCUGUGAAAAAAAGAGUAGCGUGGCGACAGGUCAAAGUUUGAGGCUUAGCCACGCCCACACCUUUCAACUUUUGAAAAAUCCGACGGUUGAAUUUUUUCCCCUAUGUCUUAAGGGUAUAUAGCAGAAGUUUGAAGGAGAUUGGUGAAAAGGGCGACGGAGCAUCACUCUCCAAACAACGUGUGCGAAAACCACUAAAUCGCGUACUUGAUCCAAAAUGGCCGACUUCCUGUGCGACUUUGAACUUGACUCCAAGAGACUUUUUUGUAGGUCCUGAGACACCACAUUAGUGUACCAAAUUUCGUAAUCCUCAGUCAAAGCAUGGCUUGGGGCUAAUAGUUUAAAUGGUCCUAGGGGGCGCUAUUUCAAAACAUAGGCCACGCCCACAAAAUUCAGCUGUCUAUUUCUCUUGGAGCUCAGACUAGGAUCACUCACCAGAAGUUUCGUAGCAAUAUCACGAUAACUGAAGAAAUGAGAGACAAACGUAUUUCCAUGGCGUGAUGGCGAUUUUCGCCAUGGUCCCAAAGCCCCGCCUUUUUUCAAAACCUGCCAGUACUGGAGACCAAGUAACCUCAACUUGUCUACUGCUGUUUGCCACAGAAUCCUGGUGAUUGGGUAAAAGGAGUCCAGUAGGGAGCUGUGAAAAAAAGAGUAGCGUGGCGACAGGUCAAAGUUUGAGGCUUAGCCACGCCCACACCUUUCAACUUUUGAAAAAUCCGACGGUUGAAUUUUUUCCCCUAUGUCUUAAGGGUAUAUAGCAGAAGUUUGAAGGAGAUUGGUGAAAAGGGCGACGGAGCAUCACUCUCCAAACAACGUGUGCGAAAACCACUAAAUCGCGUACUUGAUCCAAAAUGGCCGACUUCCUGUGCGACUUUGAACUUGACUCCAAGAGACUUUUUUGUAGGUCCUGAGACACCACAUUAGUGUACCAAAUUUCGUAAUCCUCAGUCAAAGCAUGGCUUGGGGCUAAUAGUUUUAAUGGUCCUAGGGGGCGCUAUUUCAGAAAAUAGGCCACGCCCACCAGAUGUUCACAUCAGAUCUUUUGGGGGGCCGGACUAGGAUCACUCACAAGAAGUUUCGUGACGAUAUCUUUGGAAAUGACGAAAUGGGAGGCAAACGUAAGGCCAAGGCGGUACGCCUGAAUUCGCCGCGCCACCACAGCCCCGCCCUCUGCCGAAAACUCCCAUAAAGUGACGCCAAGCAACCCCCACUUGUCUUGAGUUACCAGCUACAAAUUUGUGGUGAUUAAGUGAAAUGGGGCAAUUUGGGACCUUUCACAGUAAAACUUGAUCUUUUUGGUCCUGAGGGGGCGGGGCUUGUGUGAUGUCAUCAUCCGACCUUUCAAUUUACUUUGUGGGUGGAUGACGAAUGACCACAGAAAGUUUGGUAACUCUAUUCCAUUCAGUUAUGAAGUUAUAGCAAUUUAAAUAUUUUUGGCGAGUAGUCAAACUUCGAGGCCUGGCUCCGCCCCUUCAACAUAUACGAAAACUCAGAAUCCUUAUCUCAUUUUGUUCGCCCAUCCCUUCUGAGCAAUUUUACACAAUUUUUGAGACGAUCGUGCGAAAAAUGAUCGAGCAAUCCAAUCAGAAACGGACCCUAAAAACGGCAAAAACGGCAAAAAAUCGCCAUUUCAACCCAAAAUGGCCGACUUCCUGUUUGAUAUUGACCAUGGUUGCAAGAGACUUUUCUGUGCGGACUGUUGAGUACUACAAGUGUACCAAAUUUCAUAACUGUACGAUAAACUAAGCUUUAUGGAGAGGGGUUUUUUUCACUUUGUAGGGGGCGCUGUUCAGCCAUUUUCUUUGCGAUUUUUUUGGGACCUUUAAAAUAUCAAAUUUUUCACCAGGCCUGACAAGUGUGCAAAAUAUUGUGAGUUUUGGGGUAUGUUAAGGUCCCCAAAAAGCUGUUCAAAGGGGGCACGGAAUAACAAAAAAUAAUAAUAAUCAGAGCAAAAACAAGAGGCCUUCGCAGCGCUUUCGCUGCUCGGGCCUAAUUAAAGCUGCAAGCAGCGUCGUUCGGCCCUCGCAGCUACGCGCCGCUCCGGCUUGGCCCGCAGCCCGGGGCGCCAGGGCACGUCCGCGGAACAGAAACGUUGACCACCCCGACAAAAAGUAACCGCUAAUGGUCACCUCGUCUGCACUUCACCCAGCCUCAGCAUCCUCUCUGAGCCCACCAUUAAAUUACACAUCUCACCACUAGGGCAUGCUCUAUCUUUAUCUCACUGGUGGUGUGAUGACACAGACCACCUUUAAUGCUUUUCUGAUCAUGAUUUUUGAAGUUAUAGUAGGCUAAAUUUAUCCAGGGGGCAUUGUGACCAAUCACAGAAUAAUCCCAUUGAGGUCAGCUUUGGUUGACAAAGAUCGUUUUCUGUUAUUUUGGCAUCAAUCAGACAUUGUGUGUUCUUUCUAGAGACAGUGAGCUAAAAUGGGUGGAGCUACAGGGAUUUGAACCAACAACCACAUCAAUGUGUUUGGUGAAGUCACGUGAUGUCACAAGCCAAGUAUAAUGCCAUUCUGACCUCAGCACAGCUUAUCAGUUUGCAAUUUAAUAAAUGGCAAUUGCACCACAAGUUGGUCCAAUGAGUGUUGUUCUAUAAAAUAAUCAUUAGUGUAAGUUUCAACCCAAUAAAUCUAUGUGUUGUGCUAACAUCAUCAAUAUGUGUGACGUGAUCUGGUAACAUGUAGGGACUUACUGAAUGGACUUCAGAUACUGUAAACAUGCUUCAUGUCUUAUCUGUAUUUUUUGCCGGCACCCAGAUCCUAUGUCAUUAUUGUGGGCGAGCUCAUGUACUAGAGGCGUGAUUCAUCCCUCUUCAUAACUUGUUUUUUUGUUAUUUCGUUUCUCACAUUUGUCUCACACAGAAAUACUAAUGAACGUAGGUUAAACCAGAAUCAGUUUUAUUUAAAUGUAUGUAGUAGCUGGUUUCGUUUUAUUUUACAGUGGGCUGAAAGGUGAAUCAACAAGAUUGUAUAAACUCAGUUGACAUUAGAAAUUAAUUCAUAGGAUUCUCCAUCAUAGCACUAUACAAGCUCAUUAUGUCUUUUGUAUGUUACAUUUUAAAAACUGUGAUUAGUUGAGAUGUUAUGCUUUUUUCAACAGAUACCAGUCAGAGGGGACAAACAGGACAUGUCAAGCUGCAAAUCUGCAAUCAAGCUCAGUCAUGGAAAAGUCGUCCCUCCUGUGGUUAUCUUCCAAAGUUAUCAUCCAUGUUUCUGUACUCCAACACAGCUAAUUCUGUUGUUGAAUCAUUGAGCAGAAGGUCAUCAGGUUUUUCAAAAGCCUGUAAAUCACCUGCUGAUUGAAAUAAGGUGUGUUGAAGCACAGUUAAAACUAAAACAUGCUAGCUACUGCUUUUCCAGGACCAGGAGAGGGUAUGGCUGUUGUGGUUUGAAAAGGGCAGUGUGGCAUUAUUAGCUUUUCCACUUGAAGGCCUCAUCCUCUCCUCCUCAUCACAUAAGAAAAGGGGAGUUGAGCUUAACUGUGGCCAAAUUAAUGUUUAAAUGAAUAUUAACCUAUUUUAUAGAGGACUCAAGAGUGAAUUUUGAUGAUGGUAGGGAGGUUAAGUGACUGUAGCUGUGCAGCUGAAAUGUCUGGUGUGGACAGGAUAAGGGAAGGGCCAUAUUAAGUGCAGAUAUGUCUGGAGAGCAGAUUAGGUGAAGUGAAGUAGGAUGUAGCCUAGCCAAGCAACUAUUGUAGUACUCAGUGGUGGGGUCUUGUGAUGUCAGUUUGCUAUUUAAGGUUGGGAAGAAAGCUAGAGGCUGUAGGGUCAGGUUCCUGUUAUAGGAAGGCAACAUGGAUAGUGAAUAUGAAUUUUAGGAGAGACCCUCUGUUUCCAGUUGUGGGGGAACAUAAUGCCAUGUAUGGAAGAUGUCACUGUCCUGAGCCAGUGGAUCGUGCCACUUGGAGCCAAGCUAAGAAAGCUUAGAUGUGGGGAUGGUGUAUUGAACAUCAAAUAGAGCUAAGUGUUCUUUAUCUUUAUUUUGCAUUUUAUUGGGUAUGGGGAUUGACCAUUGUUGAGCUUUUAUUUGUGCAGAAUCAGUGUUAAUCUAGGUUAAGACAUCUGGAGUGAGGAGGAGGGUUUAGGCUUAGUAGACCAUAGAUAUAUAUAUACAUAGAUGCCCAAUGGACUGGUGCCGCCUAUUGGAGAUGUUGUAGUGGCUGGUUGCCAUUUGAGAUGUUUCUCCAUUUGCCCCUGUACAUGCUGAGGAAGGUGCUGACCCAAGUAAAAAAACACAUUUUAUGAAGCUUUUUCACAAAAGCAGACACAAGGUAUGGCAUGACAAUUAAAUUAUAGACACAAGGUAUGGUAUUAUAAUUAAAAUAUAAAUGUGUUUAACCACGAUAUGUAAUAAUUUUUAAUAGAAAUAUCUAACUGAUAGGGUAGAAAAGCAAGUAGUAAUCUCAUAUGAUAUUUUGUCAAUAGUACGACGGUUGUUGUAACCAACGGCUGCACAUAAACGGGCAUUGCUGCUCAGUCUGCUUUGAUUUUGGAGAGUGAGGAGACCCAUCCAAUAUGGCGGCGUUGUUUUUACGUUCUCCAGCGUCAAAUGUGGCGUCUACAUAAUCAUGUCUAUAGACCCUUUUACUACUUACGUCAUCAAAAGUUGCGUGCGCAGCCUGGCAACGAGAGUGAAGGGUUCCUCAUUCACACUCGAUACUAAAAUAGCGUUUUAAACCCUUUGUUUUGAAGUUCUGAGCACAUAAAAAUGUCGGGUUGUUGCGUGUAUGGAUGCCAGAAUCGCUUCUCUUCAAGCAGUGGACUGAAACUUUACAGAAUUCCGAAGGGAGCAAAUCCAUUUCAACAAAAUUGGAGGCGUCUGUGGCUGCAGGCCAUCAAAAGGGUUGAUGAAAACUGGACUGAAAACACGAUCCAAAAUGCUCGAGUUUGUAGCGCCCAUUUUAUAUCAGGUAAGGUUAUUAUGUACUAAGAUUACACCAGAAAGCUGGUUAACUUGUGUUCUAUAAAAUAAAGUAAGUUGUGUUUGCUGGUUUGCUUUUAAGCAGUCUAUUUAUUUACAGGCGAGGUGUCAUUGGACUCCUCGAGUCCUGAUUUUGUGCCUUCUGUGUUUACGUACACAAAGCGAAGUCCAAACCCCCAUGCAAAGAUGGACAGGUAAUGUUUACACCUUCCCAUCACAGAUAUAUUUAAUAUUUAGAAAUUCUUGCUAUUCAUGAUGUUCAGUGUUAUUAUAUCUUGGCUCUUGACUUGUGUAACUGUUAAGUAAUUUAGACCUGUUACAUUAAGGUAUCAACGGAAAAGGAGAAGGGAUGAAACGUCUUGCAUGCCAUCAAAUCAGCUGGCUGCUUCAGAGAAUACAGAUCAGCAACCAUCAUUGGCUCACCAUGCCGGUAAGGAUUUUGUAUUUUCUGUUACAAUAAAAAUAUUUGUGUGGACUUGUUGGUGCAUUUGAUAACUUUUCAUAUUUCUGUGUUAAAGCUGAAGAGGACCUCCCUGUUCCAAGGAGAGAAUAAGAUGGCCUACAACAAAGAUAUGCUGGGCUUCAUAAAAACCAUGUCAACCUGCAGCUGGAGUUUGAAAAACUUAAGGCAGAAAAUUGCAAGCUUAAAGAGGAGCUGACAAAUUAAGCGUUUUCCAAUGCAAAUAUUAGGUGCAACAGGGGAGCACUGUUUUUUUCACAGGACUUACAACUCUUGUCUUUGAUUGGCUCCUAACAAAAGUAACAGAUAGUGUGGAGAUAAUUUGCCAAAAACUAACCGCUCAAGAUCAUCUAUUGGUUGUACUAAUGAAAUUAACACUGGGUCUAAGCAACACGGAUUUGGCAUACAGAUUUAAUGUUUCUAAAACAACUAUAUCAAAUAUUUGUCGAAGCUGGAUACCUGCCGUGUCUGUAAUACUUAAACCACUCAUUAAAUGGCCAAGUAAGGGAGCCGUACUAAAGAGCAUGCCCAAAGUUUUCAGACGGAAUUUCAAACGAUGUCGGUGCAUAAUAGACUGUACAGAAAUGUUCAUUUCUAGACCUAGCAAUCUAACUGCUAGGGCCCAGACAUGGUCAAAUUACAAACACAGCAACACAAUUAAAUAUUUGAUUGGCAUCACCCCAGUUGGAGCAAUUUCCUUUCUGUCACCUGGAUGGGGUGUAAGGGUUUCAGACAAACAAAUAACAAAAGAGUCGGGGUUGGUCUUUUAGAACACAAUGAUGAGAUUUUAGCUGAUAGAGGAUUUCAAAUCCGAGAUGAACUUGCCGCUUGUGGAGCCACUCUCCGUAUACGUCAUUUCACAAAAGGGAAAAAGCAACUCUCUGCUCAGGAGGUAGACUCAUCAAGACAACUGUCUCGUGUCAGGAUACACGUUGAAUGAGUAAUAGGACGCUGGAAGAAAUGUAAGAUUUUUCAAACAGUAAUUCCUGUGUCACAACUCAACAUUCUAGAUGUGAUUGUGUGUGCUGCUCUAACAAACCUCUGUAAGAGCGUUGUAAAACACACCAAAAAUUAUCAACUCCCAUGAUCCCAUGCAGACAAGAAACAGUGCUACUGUCAUUUGCUAGAAUAUGUAAAACUGAUUUUGCAUUAGUGUACGAAAAAAAUGUAAAUCUGCUGUUUUUUUGUACUAAAUAAUAAAUUUUAAAUUUUCUUUGUAUGUGAUUGUCAGAAACAAUUCGAUUGUGCACUAAUUAAAUCUUUGUAGUUUCAACAUUAGAUGCAAACUAAAAUACACACAUACAAACACCGUUGAAUCCUAAAGAAUUGUUUAUUUGAAAAUAGUUUGAGCAUCAACACCAUUCUUUUAAAUCUAAGAAUUAGCCAGAAGGCUUUUUAUUUUAAAAAAUAAAUAAAUACAAUUAACAAUAAUCACAUAUUCUAAGUUAAUUGUGUGUUUUGUAACAAAAAUAAAUCAUAUAUAUAUAUUUCUAUUUUGGUCUCUGCCGAUCUCUGCCGAGCUCUGCCGAGCGGUGGAGGCUGUGUGUUGUGUUUCAAUCGGCCAAACGGGACGAGACCAGUCGUCCAAUUGCUGACAAGAAAAUCAAAGGGUAGGAAUGGGAAUGUAUCCAAUCAGCGUCGACGUUGUUUCAGAAGCAUGACGGGCGAUAGAGCUACCGCCAAAGGCUUUCGCUAGUGCUCGGUAGAACUCGGAGAUCUACUCCAGCACGUUUUUGGUCGUGACUCGUGAUGGUCGUGACGCAUACGGAAUAAACAUGGAAGCCAGUGCGCCUACAACCAGCAGCAGCAUGGAUACCGGAUCUCAGCAGCCACUGAAUUCAGUUCGGUCUCUUCUCCAGUUCGAGAGGAGAACUAUGGUGGAAAAACUUAAUGUCAAAGAGCUUGGACCAGAUCAGCCCGACGUAAAGAUAAGCCAGCAGGAGGAGGAGAGAGGUAAACUGUACACACGAGGCUUCUGGGAAGGCUUGGCUAGCUGGAUGCAAUCACGCUAAUGCGUUAUUUUGCUUUCCAAACAUAUGUGACAGAUGAGGCAUGGAUUGAGUCAGGAGUUACGGACAUGAAACAUUUUUCUGAGAAGGUGAAGAAACAUGAGUUAUCCCGGGCGCACAUGGACAACACGGUGAAGCUAGCUAUGCUAGGCAGAGCUAACAUAGCCAUGCAGCUCGAGACGAGGGACGCGGGCUUGCAGUGAAGAAACACAAUGAAGAAGUGGAUCAGAACCGGCACAUUUUGUCCAAGAGAGAGAUGUCAACACAGUGUAUGAGCACAAGGAUGACCUCCUCAGAUUUUUCCAGAUCAGAGACUCGGAUGACUUUGAUCCAGUCACUGAGAGAGAGGCAGGAGGCUUUGUGAGAAUGCUGGAGGAAGAAGAUUUCUGCUUUCUGCUGGCAUUGUUUCACAAGAUCAUGCCACAUGUGGACAUGCUGUUCAACCAACUGCAGAAGAGGAACAUUGACUCUGUCUCCAUCACAGGGGUCAUCCAGAGCUUCACCAACAGCAUGCAAAAGAUCAGAUGCAUUUUUCACGGGGGCUUUUUAUUGUUUUAUGUUAGAUUCGUUUUUGUAAAUAAUGAAAUAAAUCAGGAAAUCUUCUAGAAAUAGGAAAUGUUCCUCAAGAUCUGUUGAUGAGGAGCAAGAUGUGCCCUCAUCGUUUUUCCGUCACAAACGCAGAAAACAAAACCUCCAUAUACAUCUGUGGUUGAGGAUUCAGGUGCGAGUGAAGAUGAUUUCCCAUCACAGCUGCAAGAUUCUUCUGAUGAGCCAUUCACCAGCAAUGGGCAGUGUCAGAGGAAGGAUCUUGCUGGAGAUGCUCCACAUCUUCUAGACUCCUGGACAACAAAGUCAAACCCAGGUACUGUCAACCCACGCCACCCAGAUUUAUCCCCAGAAGAACUCCUGGCUAUCAGCUUCCCGUCAUGGAUAAACCAGGUACACGCAGUGCAAAAAAGCACUCCCUGGAUGUGCUAAGAAUGCAAGAAAGUAUUUUGUCUGCAGCAGGACAGGAAUUGCUCUGCAGAAGACCACAGCAGCUAAAAACGCCUGAACACUGACAGACAAUAUCACCUGAAAGUCAGACACUGAAAGUUGUAAAUGUAAAAAGAUCAAUACAAGGUUGUAAUCCAUGUUAGGUUUGAGUUUUGGUAUUUCAGAUUUUUUAUUCAUGUACAUCUGUAUUUUCUAUUCAUACAUAUCUGAAGAAAAAUGAAAUCAGUUUUUUUCUGUUAUUACAUUAUUUUUUUUGGGUAAUUUCAAACAAAAUAGCUGCAAAAUCUUUACAGAUACGGAAAGCUAAGCUUGUCCUGAAAAUGUUUUGUGCAGAUACGACCUUUUUUGACGAAUUUAUUCAAAGAUAAAGAUAAACAAGGCCAGGCAGAGUUGAACAAUGGCAGAACUAAAAGGUUUUAAGAGCUGGAAUUACAGUAACAUGAAGCUGAGCUCACAGCUGGUAAUGGGGCUCAGGAGGUGACCGUGCUCAUUACGUGCUUUAUGAGAAUACCUUUGAUGAGCAAUCAAAUCACAGGUAUGACGUAGAGGCUGCUAGAGCACGCAGAGAGAGUCGGGAGAUGAAGAAUCCAGCAGGAGAGAUGGUCCGUUAUGUAGGAAGGAAGAAAAAUAGCGCGGCAGAGAAACAAAACACGACGUUUUAAAAACAGCUGCUGUGUGCUUCCUAACCUCAGUGAGCGUCCAGAGAAGAGUGAAAACAGCCAACAUCCACAGCUAUGUUGGAUGUUUAUCAGAGAGAACAUAUGUGUUGAUAUGAAUUCACACUAUUAAAGGUAAAAUGUUCCUUUGGAAGUAAAGUGAUGUUUACAUGCUAAAUACAUAUCCCAUUACCUGACUAAGCUUGGUGUGAACAUUCAAGUCACUAUGAAAUCUGCAAGCCUCUAAGGUGACAGAGCUUCAUUGCAAGUGCUAUAUGUGACUGAUGGGUUAGAAAACAUGUGAGAGUUUCUAAAAUGUGUCACAUGUGAGGUUAAAAUGUAGAAAGUGGUGUGUGUGCUUUAAGCUGCCCAACAUUUUUGAGUGUGUGACCUUUGUUAAAUGUGAUCCACUUCCUGCUGUAAUGUGGACUUUUAUAGAGCUGAGUAACUGGAGUAGAUUACACACCUAAGUAGCUGUAGUACAUUACACACCUGAGUAACUGGAGUAGAUUACACACCUGAGGAUGAGAGCCAGUAGUUUAUAUUUAAUGUGAGUAAACUGCAUCUACCUGACAUCACUCAGAGACAAAGUACUUCUGACUCUUAAAGUCAUUUAUUAAAAGCAUGCCUGCUACAAACUCAAGUAUUUCAGUGUAAAAAUAACUUCACAUGUGUGAUAUGCACGUGGAGUCACAAGUUAACUUUUAUCUGCUAAGGUGUUCACUGCAGUCAAAACACCCUCCAUGCUUCUGCUGGUUGGCUGCUUUGUCCAGGUGAGCUGUGUGUUUUUAGACUGCCUGUCUGUCAGUUCACAGAAGAACUGCAUCAUGGUAUUAAACUGUUCAUCUGCCCUGUUUUCAGCCUCUGACCCAAGCAUCUGUACUGUCUUGUGGUUCUGUGUACAGUGAGUUUGCAGCGCUGCAGUGCUCUUGUUCAGGCUUGGUGUGGAGGCCUUUUACACCUGUUGAUUUACUGUGAUCUUGUCAUGGCUCUGCUUUUCCUCUGCUGCUGUGCUCUUAACCCCUUCUUUCCACAGGAGCCGUCAGCAGCACGUUACUGCAGCAGCACGUCAUAGCUGCUGAUAGGAGCCGCUGUGGUCAACAGAACCUUUUCCACCGGAGCCGUCAGCAGUGCGAGUCGGCCGCGUCUCAGGAGCAGCAUGUCGCGGCCUUUACGCUCCGGUUAUAUUUUCUACGCGCGACGCCUCUGAAACGGGUCAAGUUCGACAUUUUUGGGGAAGGAAAGACAGGAAAUCGGACGCGGAAAUGGAGAGAAGCUCCCGAGAUUUUCAGAAUAAAGAAACGUACUGCCUUCUGGUUGCUUUACUUUUAAAAAAGGUUACUAACUGCAGCCCCGUGAGAAGUUAUCACCUAGCUAGCGGUCUCCUUUGUUUUUCAGGUCCGUAUUGGCGAUUAUAAAACGGACAGAACAUAAAACACAAACCAUGUUGUAGUUUUCUCCUGCUUGUUGUUGUGUUUACUGACGAAGUCACUCGUGUGACUUCGUGCUCGGUCGGUGACAGCUGCUCCCCUGCUGCUUCGCGUCUCGUGGGAAGGGCCAAGCAGCAGCUUGACGUGCUGCUGCAGUAACGUGCUGCUGACGGCUCCAGUGGAAAGAAGGGGUAAGUGUUUGCAGGUGAGCAGGUUGGAGAGCCACAGCUGCAGCUGAUGACCAUCAGCCAGGCCAGAGGAUAUAAGGAGCAGUGUUGCCACACUUCAGCGCCGGUUGAUACUCUAUUGUUGGUACCAGCCCUGGAUUCUUACCUCAGCUUCCUGCUGUCUGAAGUGGAUUUUUCACCCAACGCCGCUCAACUCCUCUGGUCUCCCGCUCUCCACCUCUCACCUGUCCUGGAUUACUUCACUGCCUGAUAAUCCUCUCCACCAGACCAUCUCCAGCUCAGACCUGACUUGCCUCCCUCUCCUGCUCAAAACCCCACUUCACACAGAUUGGAAUACUCCCCCUGGCCCAGUUUGGAUCAGUGCUUUUUGUUAUUAUUUUUCUUUAUAAUAAAACAUGUAUAAUUUUACU